CAGCAGCCGCGGGAAUACGAAGGGGGCUAGCGUUGCUCGGAAUGACUGGGCGUAAAGGGCGCGUAGGCGGAUGGCACAGUCAGAUGUGAAAUUCCCGGGCUUAACCUGGGGGCUGCAUUUGAUACGUGUUGUCUAGAGUGAGGAAGAGGGUCGUGGAAUUCCCAGUGUAGAGGUGAAAUUCGUAGAUAUUGGGAGGAACACCGAUGGCGAAGGCAAUCCCCUGGGCCUGCACUGACGCUCACGCACGAAAGCGUGGGGAGCAAACAGGAUUAGAUACCCCUGUAGUCCCUGUCUCUUAUAC
rnacentral:rRNA from 1 species